rnacentral:rRNA from 1 species
ACCCGCUGAACUUAAGCAUAUCAAUAAGCGGAGGAAAAGAAACCAACAGGGAUUGCCUCAGUAACGGCGAGUGAAGCGGCAACAGCUCAAAUUUGAAAUCUGGUCCUCGGGCCCGAGUUGUAAUUUGCAGAGGAUGCUUUUGGCGACGUGCCUACCGAGUUCCCUGGAACGGGACGCCACAGAGGGUGAGAGCCCCGUACGGUAGUGUCACCGAGCCUCUGUAAAGCUCCUUCGACGAGUCGAGUAGUUUGGGAAUGCUGCUCUAAAUGGGAGGUGUAUGUCUUCUAAAGCUAAAUACCGGCCAGAGACCGAUAGCGCACAAGUAGAGUGAUCGAAAGAUGAAAAGUACUCUGAAGAGAGAGUUAAACAGCACGUGAAAUUGUUGAAAGGGAAGCGCUUGCAGCCAGACUUGCCUGUAGUUGCUCAUCCGGGUUUUUACCCGGUGCACUCUUCUAUAGGCAGGCCAGCAUCAGUUUGGGCGGUUGGAUAAAGGUCUCUGUCAUGUACCUCUCUUCGGGGAGAACUUAUAGGGGAGACGACAUGCAACCAGCCCGGACUGAGGUCCGCGCAUCUGCUAGGAUGCUGGCGUAAUGGCUGU